rnacentral:rRNA from 1 species
UACGUAGGGUGCAAGCGUUGUCCGGAUUUAUUGGGCGUAAAGAGCUCGUAGGCGGUUUGUCGCGUCUGCUGUGAAAACUCGGGGCUUAACUCCGGGCCUGCAGUGGGUACGGGCAGACUAGAGUGCGGUAGGGGAGACUGGAAUUCCUGGUGUAGCGGUGAAAUGCGCAGAUAUCAGGAGGAACACCGGUGGCGAAGGCGGGUCUCUGGGCCGUAACUGACGCUGAGGAGCGAAAGCGUGGGGAGCAAACAGG